UGGGGAAUUUUGGACAAUGGGCGAAAGCCUGAUCCAGCAAUGCCGCGUGUGUGAAGAAGGCCUUCGGGUUGUAAAGCACUUUUGUCCGGAAAGAAAUCCUUGGCUCUAAUACAGUCGGGGGAUGACGGUACCGGAAGAAUAAGCACCGGCUAACUACGUGCCAGCAGCCGCGGUAAUACGUAGGGUGCAAGCGUUAAUCGGAAUUACUGGGCGUAAAGCGUGCGCAGGCGGUUUGCUAAGACCGACGUGAAAUCCCCGGGCUCAACCUGGGAACUGCAUUGGUGACUGGCAGGCUAGAGUAUGGCAGAGGGGGGUAGAAUUCCACGUGUAGCAGUGAAAUGCGUAGAGAUGUGGAGGAAUACCGAUGGCGAAGGCAGCCCCCUGGGCCAAUACUGACGCUCAUGCACGAAAGCGUGGGGAGCAAACAGGAUUAGAUACCCUGGUAGUCCACGCCCUAAACGAUGUCAACUAGUUGUUGGGGAUUCAUUUCCUUAGUAACGUAGCUAACGCGUGAAGUUGACCGCCUGGGGAGUACGGUCGCAAGAUUAAAACUCAAAUGAAUUGACGGGGUCAUAGCUGUUUCCU
rnacentral:rRNA from 1 species